rnacentral:rRNA from 1 species
AACGCUGGCGGCGCGCCUAAUACAUGCAAGUCGAGCGAGAAGGUGUAGCAAUACACUUGUAAAGCGGCGAACGGGUGAGGAAUGCAUGGGUAACCUACCCUCGAGUGGGGAAUAACUAGCCGAAAGGUUAGCUAAUACCGCAUACGUUUCCGGAACUUCGGUUUCGGAAAGAAAGCAAUACCGUGGGUAUUGCGCUCCUGGAUGGGCUCAUGUCCUAUCAGCUUGUUGGUGAGGUAACGGCUCACCAAGGCUUCGACGGGUAGCUGGUCUGAGAGGACGAUCAGCCACACUGGCACUGCGACACGGGCCAGACUCCUACGGGAGGCAGCAGUAAGGAAUAUUGCGCAAUGGACGAAAGUCUGACGCAGCGACGCCGCGUGGGGGAUGAAGGUCUUCGGAUUGUAAACCCCUUUCGGGAGGGAAGAUGGAGUGGGUAACCACUUGGACGGUACCUCCAGAAGCAGCCACGGCUAACUUCGUGCCAGCAGCCGCGGUAAUACGAAGGGUGGGCAAAGGCCGUUGUUUCCGGAUUUACUGGGCGUACAGGGAGCGUAAGCGGUUGGGUAAGCCCUCCGUGAAAUCUCCGGGCCUAACCGGAAAGUGCAGAGGGGACUGCUCACCUAAAAGAUGGGAAAAGAACGCGGAAUUCCCGGU